rnacentral:lncRNA from 1 species
UUAGGCAUAGGCAGGGCCGGGGUGGGAGCAGGAUCGGGGCUGUCGCUUCGGGUAUCAGCAGUGCAGGAGGCCACAUAGUGCUGCACAAGGCUGACCACAUCCGGAAAGGCCAGGAUGCGUGGCCUGGACAAGCAGUUGGAGUCCAGACGGAAGCUGGAGUCGGCAUACUCAAUGCGUACAUUGGUGGGGCCACGAGUGGUUUUCACUGACAGCGUGAACAGGUAGCUGGGGUGCGUGCUGUCACGUACUAAGAACGUGCCUUCUGGCAUCUUCUGCAGGUGUUGUCGGGCCUCGCUGGCCGUAAUGGAACC